GAUUUAGCGGACGAUCAAGUUUCGUCGCGCUUUUUAAAAAUCUGUAAUUUAUUUGUCCUCAACGAAUAGGCCUAAAUACUGAAAAAAGCCAAAGAAAAGGAAGGAUACGAAAUGUUGGAUCUGCAAAA
rnacentral:sRNA from 14 species